rnacentral:rRNA from 1 species
GAUGAACGCUGGCGGCGUGCCUAAUACAUGCAAGUCGAGCGAACAGAUAAGGAGCUUGCUCCUUUGAAGUUAGCGGCGGACGGGUGAGUAACACGUGGGUAACCUACCUAUAAGACUGGGAUAACUUCGGGAAACCGGAGCUAAUACCGGAUAACAUUUGGAACCGCAUGGUUCUGAAGUGAAAGAUGGUUUUGCUAUCACUUAUAGAUGGACCCGCGCCGUAUUAGCUAGUUGGUAAGGUAACGGCUUACCAAGGCGACGAUACGUAGCCGACCUGAGAGGGUGAUCGGCCACACUGGAACUGAGACACGGUCCAGACUCCUACGGGAGGCAGCAGUAGGGAAUCUUCCGCAAUGGGCGAAAGCCUGACGGAGCAACGCCGCGUGAGUGAUGAAGGGUUUCGGCUCGUAAAACUCUGUUAUUAGGGAAGAACAAAUGUGUAAGUAACUGUGCACAUCUUGACGGUACCUAAUCAGAAAGCCACGGCUAACUACGUGCCAGCAGCCGCGGUAAUACGUAGGUGGCAAGCGUUAUCCGGAAUUAUUGGGCGUAAAGCGCGCGUAGGCGGUUUCUUAAGUCUGAUGUGAAAGCCCACGGCUCAACCGUGGAGGGUCAUUGGAAACUGGGAAACUUGAGUGCAGAAGAGAAAAGUGGAAUUCCAUGUGUAGCGGUGAAAUGCGCAGAGAUAUGGAGGAACACCAGUGGCGAAGGCGACUUUCUGGUCUGUAACUGACGCUGAUGUGCGAAAGCGUGGGGAUCAAACAGGAUUAGAUACCCUGGUAGUCCACGCCGUAAACGAUGAGUGCUAAGUGUUAGGGGGUUUCCGCCCCUUAGUGCUGCAGCUAACGCAUUAAGCACUCCGCCUGGGGAGUACGACCGCAAGGUUGAAACUCAAAGGAAUUGACGGGGACCCGCACAAGCGGUGGAGCAUGUGGUUUAAUUCGAAGCAACGCGAAGAACCUUACCAAAUCUUGACAUCCUUUGAAAACUCUAGAGAUAGAGCCUUCCCCUUCGGGGGACAAAGUGACAGGUGGUGCAUGGUUGUCGUCAGCUCGUGUCGUGAGAUGUUGGGUUAAGUCCCGCAACGAGCGCAACCCUUAAGCUUAGUUGCCAUCAUUAAGUUGGGCACUCUAGGUUGACUGCCGGUGACAAACCGGAGGAAGGUGGGGAUGACGUCAAAUCAUCAUGCCCCUUAUGAUUUGGGCUACACACGUGCUACAAUGGACAAUACAAAGGGCAGCUAAACCGCGAGGUCAUGCAAAUCCCAUAAAGUUGUUCUCAGUUCGGAUUGUAGUCUGCAACUCGACUACAUGAAGCUGGAAUCGCUAGUAAUCGUAGAUCAGCAUGCUACGGUGAAUACGUUCCCGGGUCU